UACGGAGGGUGCAAGCGUUAUCCGGAAUCACUGGGUUUAAAGGGUACGUAGGCGGUUAAUUAAGUCAGUAGUGAAAGACUGUCGCUUAACGACGGAUGUGCUAUUGAUACUGGUUAACUUGAAUCAGGUUAGAGUUGGCGGAAUGGGUCAUGUAGCGGUGAAAUGCUUAGAUAUGACUUGGAACACCGAUAGCGAAGGCAGCUGACUGGGCCUUGAUUGACGCUGAGGUACGAAAGUGUAGGGUAGCGAACAGG
rnacentral:rRNA from 1 species